rnacentral:rRNA from 1 species
AGUGGACGCUGGCGGUAGGCCUAACACAUGCAAGUCGAACGGCAGCACAGUAAGAGCUUGCUCUUACGGGUGGCGAGUGGCGGACGGGUGAGGAAUACAUCGGAAUCUACUUUUUCGUGGGGGAUAACGUAGGGAAACUUACGCUAAUACCGCAUACGACCUACGGGUGAAAGCAGGGGAUCUUCGGACCUUGCGCGAUUGAAUGAGCCGAUGUCGGAUUAGCUAGUUGGCGGGGUAAAGGCCCACCAAGGCGACGAUCCGUAGCUGGUCUGAGAGGAUGAUCAGCCACACUGGAACUGAGACACGGUCCAGACUCCUACGGGAGGCAGCAGUGGGGAAUAUUGGACAGUGGGCGCAAGCCUGAUCCAGCCAUACCGCGUGGGUGAAGAAGGCCUUCGGGUUGUAAAGCCCUUUUGUUGGGAAAGAAAAGCAGCAGGUUAAUACCCCGCUGUCCUGACGGUACCCAAAGAAUAAGCACCGGCUAACUUCGU